rnacentral:rRNA from 1 species
GAUGAACGCUGGCGGCGUGCCUAAUACAUGCAAGUCGAGCGAACAGACGAGGAGCUUGCUCCUCUGACGUUAGCGGCGGACGGGUGAGUAACACGUGGAUAACCUACCUAUAAGACUGGGAUAACUUCGGGAAACCGGAGCUAAUACCGGAUAAUAUAUUGAACCGCAUGGUUCAAUAGUGAAAGACGGUUUUGCUGUCACUUAUAGAUGGAUCCGCGCCGCAUUAGCUAGUUGGUAAGGUAACGGCUUACCAAGGCAACGAUGCGUAGCCGAGCUGAGAGGGUGAUCGGCCACACUGGAACUGAGACACGGUCCGGACUCCUACGGGAGGCAGCAGUAGGGAAUCUUCCGCAAUGGGCGAAAGCCUGACGGAGCAACGCCGCGUGAGUGAUGAAGGUCUUCGGAUCGUAAAACUCUGUUAUUAGGGAAGAACAAAUGUGUAAGUAACUAUGCACGUCUUGACGGUACCUAAUCAGAAAGCCACGGCUAACUACGUG